rnacentral:lncRNA from 1 species
AUGAAAUCUGUGGCUGGAAGAGUGCCAGACGCAUAAAAAUGUUUCGCACAUGAAGGAACCACAACUUAAAUAAACAAAUUUUGAAGGAACUAAGUAACAAAUGAUUUUCUGUUGUUUGUUUUGUUAUGUUAUUUUGGAAAUGUGAUUAAUCAUUAUGUCAAGGGAGUUGGGAAGAAUUUCCAGAUACUCUGAUAUGCAUGACAUCUUAAUCAUACCAAAUAAAGCAAAGCUAUCUUAGGAAAUUAGGUAUCACUGCCAAGGACCCUUACAUGAGAUAAAUUAAAAUUACUAUUAAAUUUGUAACAAUCAGAUGGACUGGCAGGCAAGUUGUGUCAUUUUUUUCUCAGCAUUUUUUCUUUCUUUGAUUCAAUAAAACAAAGUUAAAUGCCAGCUAUCUGCAAAACACUCACUAGACUAUGUUUAAUGAUAUGUGAAACACAGCCUGCACACUCACAGAUCCUUGCCAUGGUCCCGUUCCCUUCUUUUCAAAACCUGUGUUACCCUGUGGCUAGAUUUCUCAAUGAGAUGAAAGAGAGAGAGGAAUGAGAACCAUCUUCUUUGAGGUCGCUCUGCUCCGCUCCUGCAGGUAGACGAUGACUUCUCAGGUGAGACUAUUAUCCUUGGCUGGGGGGUAGAGGUCUUAAUCCUAGAAAAGAGGCCUCUCAGGUUGGAGAGGUGAUUUAAAUCCUUACCAGAUAGACACAGCUCCCCAACUCCUCCAGACUUUCACAAACCCAAACUGGAACAGCGGAAAACGACUGACAACCGGCCACAUGCCCCAGGCAGAGACACAGGGAGAGGCUGACCAGAGGGAAGGUCAACGUACAAGAUACCACCCUCCGGCACACAGGGCACAUGUGUCCCAACACACACAUACACACACACACACGGACACAGAGCGAAAGAGAGAGAAAGGAGAGAGAAAGAAGAGACGCAGGCACACACACAAAUGCACAAAGACGUAUGGCAGUGGCAGGGUAACACCCACUCCCAGGCAGCCCCUGAAGCUGCCGGGUUCUGCUCUCUGUGACUAUGACCCGUGGGUAAGAGAGCAGCCCACAGGCACACAAGCAAACCUCUCCUCUUUUGAAGAGACUCACUGGCACACCAUCAGUCGGUGCAGGCCUGAGCCUGGGAUCCCGCGCUGCUUCUCAGGCCCUCUGCCCGUGGUUUCUUCCUCCUGGACGACCCUCCGUGGAUCCUGGCCUCCAAGACCAUCCUGUCUAUGCCCCUGGCGAGAGCUGGUCUUAGCCCUGACUCUGACUAAUCCCUCUAGUCCCAGGUACUCGGGAGGCGGAGGGAAGAGAAUCACUUGAAUCCGGGCGGAAGACUUUGCAGUGACCUGAGAUCUCGCUACUGCACUCCAGACUGGGUGACAGUGAGACACUGACUACAUAAAAAAAAAUAUGGUGGAGCGGGGGCUGUGGGGACUGAGGCGGUGGCAGGUGAAGUGAAUAUUGGGAAAGAGGCCUCCUUGAUGCUCCACGAAUCCUGGCCUGAGGCUGGGAUCUCGCGCUGCCUCCCCGGAGAUCAGCCUGAGGUUUCUUCCUCCUGAGGUUUCUUCCUGCUGGUCGGAUCUCCGUGAAUCCCGGCCUCUGGAGACCAUCCUGUUAAUGCCCUGGCCAGGACUGCUCUCAGCCCCGACUCUGACGCACUAUCACACAGGGCUCCUACUUCGCCAAGUCUCAGGGACCCAUCCCCAGGAAAUGGUGUCAAUCGCUGUGACCAAAACCGCAGCUCAGGCCUCGCGCAUGAGCACUGGCAAGGCUGACUCCCCCUUUGCUCCAGAGAGUCAGGCUGGGGACCCCUUAAAAAAUGGUGGCGACGCGAUGCGGGGACUGGGGCGGCAGUGGCAGCAGUGGAGAAGUCCAAGGCGGCGGGUGGGAAGAGGACUAGGAGAGGGGCCUGCGCGAGAGCCAGGGUCAGACCCAUAGGAGUCCUAUCGUCAGGACCUUCUUGAUUGGUUUUCUGCUUUGGUUCCCGGUGGAGGAGGAGCUUCAGGGUGCCCGCUGGGCUCUCUGGACACCUCUUCGAAUCCAAUAAUGGAUCCGACCGGGUGAUCAGGAAUGGGGUUACAAUGUAGUGAGGCAGGAAGGGCCUCGCUGGGGCACAUAAAGAUCCCAAGAGUUGCAUGGCCUGCUGUUGGCUGAAUAAACUGGCCCAUGAGUCCAUUGCCUCCCUCCUUCCUGAGUAGGGCAGGGGUUUACCUUCGUCUCCAAGGCCCGGGGACUCCGAAAUCCCGACACAGCUUUCCCCAACACAUGCAACAAGAGACAAAGGCGAGGCCAAGAUAGAGCCAAUGUGACCACACAUGGCAUUGACUUCCCCCAAGAGCAGAUGGAGUGAGCGUGUGUCUUUGAGGUCAUCUGGGACGAUGCUGAGGCAGAUAGUGAGGUCCAGGCAUGUGCCCAGGGGCCACUGGGAUUUCCCACACAAAGUUGAGGAAAAGCCAAGCACACCUGAAAACCUGUGAGACAGGACCUGUGCUAGAGUCCAAGCCACAUGCAGGGAUGCCUGCCAGAGGGGCUGAGACGUUUUGAAAAAGUAUACCCCACAAACAGCCCACCACCAGGUGGUUCCCCUGACACCACCUCCCCUGACAACCAGCAAAACCCAAUCCCUUGGGAGACUUGAAAUCCGUCGCAGUCAAAAGAUUCAGUGCUUGAAGGCAUUUUGCCCAGGAGCAGGGGAACCGAAGGGAUUUCAGAAAUAAGCGAAAAAUUACAGGCCGGAUGCAACACUGCCUUUCCUGGCAGGCAAAGGUCAGCCACGGAGGGGUCGCAUCACACUGGUCUCAGACAGACCAGGCAGCAAUCACCUGAGACAUGGAGAUCAAUGGAAGUGCCCCCUCCCAGAUAGGUAUGAGAGCUCCAGAGUAAUAAAAUCGGUCCAAAAAAUAAGAAAUACCAAAGAAGACGAAAGCAAUCAAGAUCCCGACCCCUAGGAAGUAUCUCCUGAUGAAAUGGAAACUGUUCCAUGUUGAAGACAUUCAUACAGACCGAGAAGCAUGCAGGACCCUCGGCCUCCCUCCUCCUCCGAAAGAGCGGCGGCCUAGCCCCGCUUGCAAAAGCCCCGGGGCUCCCGCAAGCUGCCUCUGCUUUGCAGGACCCACAGCGAACAGGGACAGGGGCGGUUCCGCGGCGGAGCCAUUGGCCCCACGCGUGGCACUGGCCGAUCCCCGAGCAGACGAUGUGAAUGCGUGUCAGCCCGGGCGUACGGGCGACGGCAAACCAACAGCGGAGUCCAGGCCUGUGCCCGGGUGGAAGAGGGUCCCAAGGGACCUGCCCGUGGAUUCCAAGGGAAAUCAAAGAACGCCUGGGAUCCGGGAGGGAGCCAGAAGAUUCAGGGAGUCAGUCCACCUGCUCAGAGGAGCCGAGGAGAGGCUGUGCCUCAAGAACGAGAGGGGAAGUGCAGAGGGGAAGUGCCGCACCGCCUGUCCAAGAAGACAAGGCCAGUCACGGUCGCCUAGCGCUCAUGCUAGGCAGGCCACCCAGCCAUGAGGUGAAACAGGGAGAACAAGACAGCUUCCCUGUGGGAGACACGUAUGGGAGCCAGGAGCUCCAGGGUCAUGGAACCUGCCCAAGCAAGCAGAAACAGGUUUGGAGAGAGAAACCGUCACCACACGGAUCUCCGAGGAGUGUCUCCCUGACGGACUGGGAAGCCAUCUGCGUCCAAGACGUUCGGCCAGACCGACAAGCGUGUAGGCCCCCGAGAGACAGGGGAGACAGAGCAAGAGGGAGGACAGAGCAUAGGCGGGAGCCCAGGCCGGCCACUGCCCGGUGCCACCGCCGCGGGCCUAAGGGGAGGGUUGCCCAACGGCUGACUUGUCCGGAGAGGCCAGCCUUCCAGGGACCGGGAGGCCCGGCAUCUCCCCUUCCCGGCUUCCUCUACAAGCUUCUUUUCUCAGAGAAGUGCCGUGAAAAGGUACAAGCGUCUCCUCUGAGGCGGGUCUGCUCCUCUCCUGCCGGGCCACGAGCUCCUCUGGGGCUUUUGGCCCUGGCUGGACUGUGGUUAUCUCGAUCCCAGGAGAGAGUCCGCUCGGCAAGGGUAACGAGAUUUCCACUGCUGCUGGGGAAGACGCAUCUCCUCACGCGGUCGAGGCCCUCAGGGACCCCAAGUGGAAGGGCGGCGAAAACCACUGACGAGCCCGCCGCAAGACCCAGGCACAGAGGCAGAAGAAAGAGGCUCGGCAGAGCCAGGCCGACGCGCAAGAAGUCGCCUUUGGGCGCACCGGGCGCAUUCGUCCGAACGCACCCACGCACACGGGCACGCACACACAAACCGGCAGAAAGAGGGAAAGACACACACAGAGAGUGAGGGCCAGAGAGACAAGAGAGGAUGGGAGAGACGCAGACACACACGGUCACACGGCAGCAGCGGCACAGAAACGCAGCCCCGCAGGCACACAGCCCCCUGACGCUGUAGGCUCCCGCUCCGCGCGUGAAGGCCCCUCGGCGGAGAGAGCAGCCCACGGACAGGCGGCCGGACCUGUGGUGGAGAUCACGGGGGCAAGGCUUUUGGGGAGACUCACCCCAACACCGUCCGGGCAGGCCUGAGGCUGGGACGACGCGCCGCUUCCCCCGGACUCCGCCUGCGCUUUUGUCAUCCUGGCCGGCGCGUUGCGACUCCCGGCGUCCGUCCGGAGAUGUUCCUGUCGACCCCGUGGAGAGGUGAGGCAGGAGCCUCGCAGCCCCGACACCCAAGCACCGCCACGGAGGGCUCCUGCUUUGCCAAGCC